AUUAUGUUCCAUUUCGACCAAGAAUUUCAGAAGUUAAGAAUAACUGACGAGACACAAGUGAAAAAGAUAUAAACAAAUUCUACUAAUAAGAUUUAAAUAUGAUACUAUACAAAAAUUUAAAUAUUUUCUACCUCAUGCUAUUUGUUACUGGACUGUAAGGAAUCAGAACACUAGGAAUUUCUAUUAUCAGACAUUACUUUACUUUGAAAUUAGGCUUCCUAAUGUAAAACAAUAUAACCAAUGUCUCUCUAUUGCUUGUCCCUUGGAAUAGUGAUUCUUUAACAUGAAUUUGAUUUCUCUCUAAAAGGGAAUUAAUUCUAACUAGUAAAGUAUUUUCAGAAACUCAAGUUAUUGAUGAAUUCAUAAGUGAAAUAACUGCCUGCCCCAGUCAGAUGUGGAGAAACUUCGCCUUAUAUUUAAGAUAAGUAAUUUUUAGGCCAAGAGUCCUCCCACAAAUUUUAAU
rnacentral:lncRNA from 1 species